AACCAUAGAAACCUGCGGAGUACCUGCGGAGGGAUCAUUAUAGUAUAUGGAAUCUCCAUUCUAUAAACCCACUCUGCGUAUCUUGUAACUGUAGCUUCCAUGGGACUUGGUUCCGCCACACCGGCUUCACGGCUGGUGAGCGCCCAUGGAAGGAGAAACAAAACUCUUCUUUGAAAUGUAGUCAGUCUGAACAAGUUUUUAUAAACGUUAAAACUUUUAACAAUGGAUCUCAGAUCGGAA
rnacentral:misc_RNA from 1 species